UACGGAGGGUGCAAGCGUUAUCCGGAUUCACUGGGUUUAAAGGGUGCGUAGGAGGGCAGGUAAGUCAGUGGUGAAAUCUCCAAGCUUAACUUGGAACUGCCGUUGAUACUAUCUGUCUUGAAUACCGUGGAGAUGAGCGGAAUAUGUCAUGUAGCGGUGAAAUGACUUAGAUAUGACAUAGAACACCAAAUUGCGAAGGCAGCUCGUUACACGAAUAUUGACUCUGAGGCACGAAAGCGUGGGGAUCAAACAGG
rnacentral:rRNA from 1 species